rnacentral:rRNA from 1 species
UCGGUGAAAGAUCGGUCCGCGUUAGAUUAGCUAGUUGGUAGGGUAAUGGCCUACCAAGGCGACGAUCUAUAGCUGGUCUGAGAGGAUGAUCAGCCACACUGGGACUGAGACACGGCCCAG